UCAUUAAAAUGGUCAGCAGGAAUAUUACUUAUCUUAAGCAACUCCAGAGUCAUGGAUCCUUGAGGGAAAGGCAGGAGACAUGAGGAUAAAAGGAGGCCAGGGGUGAGCCCGAAACGUAAUGAAAAAAAGAUACUAAACAGAAUAUCGUUUAGUAUAAUCUCUCUAGAGCUUCAUUUGGAUAACAGCUUUUCAACUACCCAGAAUGGGAUAGGAAAUGAGAACAUUGCCUUAUCAUCAGAUGGACCUUCAGAUUCAAGGUGUCCUACCUGCUUUGAAAGAAAACUGAAUUUGCCUUUCCUAAAUCCUUGCUUCCAUAGAUACUGUUUUACUUGUAUCUUAGAAUGGUCAGACAGAAAAGCAGAGUGUCCACUCUGUAAAAAGCAUUUUCACUCUUUCACACUAUAAGAUCUGACACUG
rnacentral:lncRNA from 1 species